rnacentral:ncRNA from 1 species
AACUGCGCCCUUGCGACAGGUUCCCCGUGAGGGGAUUGAAAGGGAAGUCGGGUGUAAGGCCCGCGCUGCCCCUGCAACUGUAAGCGGUGAGCCAACCGGCCAACACGCCAUUGGAACCCAAAGGUUCUGAGAAGGCGGCCGGAACGGCACUGACCCGUGAGCCAGGAGACCUGCCUGCCGCAGUCGUUCUUC